rnacentral:lncRNA from 1 species
CCUUGAGCUUCAGUCAUAGGCCGAAUGGUUAAGGAAAUUAGCGUAGUCGAAGAAAUAUAUGGUUGAGGAAUCCACGUCAUAGCUUAACAUGUCUAGAAAGAAUCCUCGACGAGCUGGCCGAGAAAAACCAAAACGAGGUCAAAGUCUUGAAGCCCCGCUUACCGCUUCUCAUGGUACUCAGGAUAUAUAUGCAUGGCAAGCCGAAUGACCCCAUGGACGAUAGCACUAGCACUAGGCAAUAAUGCCUCACCGAGCUCGGCAUGUGUGUUAUAUACUAAUAACUAAUAAAAGUGAUUGAACCUUCUCAAGAAGGGCUUGUCUUGAACAUCAACAAAUGUAGGCCGACAAACACCAAGGCCGAGGUCUAGAAAUAUUCUAUUCGGCCAAUCUCUUUUUUUAUUAUUUACUCGACUUCGGUGACCUUUUACUUUUCUCAACCUUAGCGACCUCGACUUAAUAUACUGUUUCAAGUUGCCACCUUAUUUUAAGCCAUAUAUAUAUAUACACACACACAUACAUAUUAAACCUGAUAGUAUAUGUAGCCUGGCUGCUUAAUGUGAUGCCGAUGUAUAUAUAUAUUAAUCCUAUGUCAGCAAUGCACAUAAUCUCAACCGCAAUUAAGGCCGAAUUCUUUCCUACUUUUCUUGACUUAGGCCUAAUCCAAACCUAGGCCAAAAUGUUUUGUCUCGGCCCCCAUAAUUGUUUUUUUCUUUUCUUUUUAAGUCGAACCAUCAUGUGUUUGAAUGCUGCCCCCUUUAUUUUCUUAUUGUAUCGGCCUAAAAGGCCGAAUGUUUAAGAAAAUAAUAUAUUCUUCCUUUUAUUUUUAUUUUUUAAGCAAAAGCAAAAGAAAACAGCUGAAUAAUAAUCAGGAGGAGGCCAACGAUGCUUUACUCCAAGCCGAGAUCCUUGUAUUUCAAUAUAGCCAAUCAGAUUUUGUAUUGAGCCGAAUAACAAGUGAUCUCCAAAUAUUUUUGACUUGGCGAAAUAUUUUCCACUUUCGGCUGCCAAAUGUGUUGAACAAUUAUCAUGCCCCCUAGGCAUAAUAAUUUCGCUAAUUUCGGCUUUUAACUCGAACAACUUAGCCGAAUGAGAUUUCUCCAUAUCGGCUUUAUCCCCAAUAAUCAUAUCGAGUAGCAUAGUUUGUUAGACUAGGCCUAUGUCUCGGCCUUGCUUGUCAUUGGAGCACCCCUCUGACGAAUCAUUUUCUAAGUCGAUUUGUGGCUCAGAAACUUGAACUUUUGCUUCUAGGCCUACCAUAAUUUCAGUCUAGACUGAAAAAACAGGUGGCCUAGGUUCUUCUUUUACUGUCUCGACAAUGUUCUAAGGCCAAAUUUUAAUAGUGGCUGGAGCGAAAAAUUGCCCCCUAGCCUUUUGAGAGAAAGACUUUUGCCUUUCUUUAUUUUCUUCAAUGAUCCAGCCAAGAAGUUUUUGUUGCUCGACAAUUUCCUUGAAUAGGCGCCGAAUCUCAUCCUGAGCGUGAUCUUGAUAUAUCAUGUGAACUUCGUAGUUUUAGCAUUGGGUCCCACUGGGCAUGCCAAAAUGUUAACCCUAAAAACUACCAAGCCUACGUGGCGCGCAGGCCGAGUAACUAAUAAGCUAACUACGUCAUUCGGUUAU